UACGAAGGGGGCUAGCGUUGCUCGGAAUCACUGGGCGUAAAGCGCACGUAGGCGGCUUGUUAAGUCAGGGGUGAAAUCCUGGAGCUCAACUCCAGAACUGCCUUUGAUACUGGCGAGCUUGAGUUCGGGAGAGGUGAGUGGAACUGCGAGUGUAGAGGUGAAAUUCGUAGAUAUUCGCAAGAACACCAGUGGCGAAGGCGGCUCACUGGCCCGAUACUGACGCUGAGGUGCGAAAGCUAGGGGAGCGAACGGG
rnacentral:rRNA from 1 species